GAUACGUGCAGACGGACAGAGCGGACGCCAUCUUGUAUUUUGAGCACAAAGUUGAGUUGACACAAUGUCCGGAGUAAUUCGUGGUUUAUUUCAGAGAUCUGUUCCGAUGUUACGGAAUCAGAGCCAGGCAAUUCAACGCCGCACAGUUCUAGGUGGGCCAGCAAAAGUGAAACUAUCCACUCCGGAGGGCGUCAUAGCUUUCACAGUUAUAUUCUUUGGCCUGGUGACUGGUCCUGCAUGGAUCCUGACACACAUAGAAGAAUAUAAGAAGAGGUCAUAAUAUGGUGACUGGACUGUGAUUAGUUUUCUCUGGACGCUGUACUUGGCACGAGGUGGAUGAUUGAAGAUGGCAACUGAUAUAACAGAUGAAGAGGAUUGACUAUGAAUAGCCAACUUCAUUUGCUGUGUGAUUGCUGGACUCUUGUACCACCUGUUUCACCUAAAACUGUCAUUAUAAUUACUCUUUUCUUUGGGUUCCAGUAGAAACUCUAGUUUGGCUUCUGUGUGUAAUUUUGAAAAGUUGUAUGAAACAAAUUAAAUUCAGUUUAAUAUUAUAAUAUAAAUAAAGGUGUACUCAUUU